rnacentral:rRNA from 1 species
GACGAACGCUGGCGGCGUGCUUAACACAUGCAAGUCGAACGGAAAGGCCCUGCUUUUGUGGGGUGCUCGAGUGGCGAACGGGUGAGUAACACGUGAGUAACCUGCCCUUGACUUUGGGAUAACUUCAGGAAACUGGGGCUAAUACCGGAUAGGAGCUCCUGCCGCAUGGUGGGGGUUGGAAAGUUUCGGCGGUUGGGGAUGGACUCGCGGCUUAUCAGCUUGUUGGUGGGGUAGUGGCUUACCAAGGCUUUGACGGGUAGCCGGCCUGAGAGGGUGACCGGCCACAUUGGGACUGAGAUACGGCCCAGACGCCUACGGGAGGCAGCAGUGGGGAAUAUUGCACAAUGGGCGGAAGCCUGAGGCAGCAACGCCGCGUGCGGGAUGACGGCCUUCGGGUUGUAAACCGCUUUCGCCUGUGACGAAGCGUGAGUGACGGUAAUGGGUAAAGAAGCACCGGCUAACUACGUG